rnacentral:piRNA from 1 species
UCUCAGUGUUAUUUUUAAGUGUUCUG